rnacentral:tRNA from 1 species
GGAGAGGUGGCAGAGUCCGGUUUAAUGUACCGCACUCGAAAUGCGGCGUAGUGGCAACACUACCGAGGGUUCGAAUCCCUCCCUCUCCGCCA